GUGGGUACUGGGGGCUUAACUGAGUCACGUGCUCAAAGGCUUUAAGCAAAUGCUUCACAAAUGUGGGCUCGGGUGUUCUCUGAAGCCUCUGACCGACCUGGGAAGCGGCUCGCCGAGGCCCUGGGCACCGGGCCUCUGUGCUCCUGAACCAGCCCUCCCGCUGACGCCUGGACAGGGCGAGUGCUCCGUCCAUAGGGACCAGCCCCGAUUGUCCGCGUGAGUUUAUCUUCCAGCAACACGCGGCUUCCUGGGAAUUUGGAGUGACCAGCGUGGGGCCCCAAAGCCCCAUAUCAUUCCUUUCAACAUUAAAAGCCAUAAGGGAUGCUUUCAACUGCAGGUUCCCCAUUGACCUGAUUGUGAGGGGUUUGGCUCCAUGGCAACAGACGGUAUCGGCCCAUUUUCAGGGCUUAGAUGCCGUGAGGAGGAGGCCCUGCUGUCCCCUCCAGGGAGGCCUGCGUGGGGCCGGUGAUGGGUGAAUGGUGGUGACGUCGGGCUCAGGGAGCCUGGGAGAGGCACAGCAGGGAGAGGAGGCAAGGGCAGGGCUCCCAGCGGGCUCCACGCUGCUGGGGCCUGGGCUUCAGUUCCACUAUGGCCUUUCUCACAUUUCGUGUUCCCGGGUGAUGCUGAGGCUGCUGUUCUGGGGACCCCACUUGAAGAACCACUGUCGUACUAAACCAGGGCUGCGCUGCAGGAGCCUCGGGGAGGAAGCGGCCAGGAAGGGGCCUUCUCCAUCGGAGGUUCCAAGGAAGUUCCUCCAAGACCCCGGCCAGGAUGCCCAAGGUGCAGCGUUACAACAUCGUGCCCAGAUGAGAGGUCCACUCUGACGAAACAGACAAUGAGAUGCCGCUGACGGGCUCCAGGUUCCACGCAGCCGCCAAACUUUAAGAAACUCCCACCUGGCGAGUCUUGACCUAGAACCCGAGAAGAAUGUCCGCAACCCUCUGGAAGGCUGUGAAAACGCUCCUCUCUUUUCUGACUACAUACCUGUGUGAGGCUGGAUAUCUUCUGUGUCCUCCCACCAAGGUGCGUUACGACAGAUCGGCUGCAGAGGCAGGUAUGAGAGUCCAGCUGACUCCUAGCAAACCAGAUGUCCAAGAGAUUCAUAAAAACGUAAAACAAUGCCACUCUUAUUAGGUACUUUUAUUUCAUAAUUUUAUUAUGAGACAUUUUAUUUAUAAUAAAUCAUAGUUUUCUUUAUUUUUAUUUAUGUUUGUAUUAUUUAUAACAUUGUAUUUAUAAAAGUAUUUUAUUCAUAUUAACACGUAAGACGGGCCUAUGAUUAUAAUUAUUAAAUGAAUUAAUAUUUUAAAAAUUUCUCAGUUUUCAUUUCUGAUAAGGUAUUUAUUGACACCUCUGACUGACUUAAAAAGUCUUUAGGGUCCUCAGUAAAGAGUGUAAAAAAGUCUUGAGCCCCCAAAUUUGAGAACCACUAUUUCUGGUUUUCGUGGUUGAUUAUCAUUAUUAUUGUCCUGACUCACUUAUGUUAUCUAUCAAAUAAAGUAAAAAACAAAAGCGAUCAAGAAAAAAUGAAGCAUGAUUUUUAAUUCUGUCAAGUGACAGCCGGUAACAGGAAUCAAUCAAGAAAUUCUUAACACCCUGUUGAGUGCGGGAGACGCCACCGCCAGGGAGCUCCGAGGAUUUCACGGGCUUAAUAAAAUGUCCCUAAAAUGACAAGUUAGGGAUGUUUUCAAAAUGAACUGCGUGGAACAGUUUGAGCGGGCAGCUGUGAGUUGUGGUUCAGUCCUUCUCUCCGUAUCUUUGUGAGAAAACUCCGGCUUUGACAGGCGGCCUCCGGGAGCCCAGGUCAGAUCCCAGGAGCUGGGGAUGCAGGUCUCCCCCUCACCACCAGAGGGAGCAUUGGUGCAGGGCUGGAGCAAACGCAGCCGAUCUGACAGCAGUGCUGUGUGACACACAGGCUAUAACCCGAUGCAGCUGUUUGAAAAUGGGUGUCUUUCUUAAGCCGGUCUCCUUGGGACGGCAAUGCACUCGUUCAGACUAGAGUGUCACCGCGGGGUCUGCCUCCUACCUCCCCCAGAGGACCCCCCGGAGCAUCGACGUACCAGGAGGGAAGAGCGGAGGGUGGGAGGACAGUGGAAAUCGAAAUGACCCUGCAGCCAACCACUCCGCUGACCUCGGGCUGGCUCCUUAGCGUCUGUGAAAGUCGGGCUCGUCUGUAAAACGGGAAGGGUGACGCUGCCAUCCCAGGACUGCUGUGAGGAUCCAGUGAGAUAAUGUCUGUGCAGAGUCUUCCAUGAGUCAUUGAGAGCGACGUGGGCUUUUUAAUGAAACCAAACGAAUGAAGCGUUGAUGGUGGAAGUGCCGGGCUGGUGACGUGUCUGCGUGUGCACAGUAGGGGGUUCCACCUCCACCACCCCCAACCCCACGGGAAGCCCAGGGGCUCGGGAGAUCCACCUGGGGUCUCACGUCCUGGAACAGUAAGAACCACAGAGCGACGAGGCCGCCCUCGGCUUAUCCAGGCCUCCGAGCAAGGCUGUGGGACAAAUGGGGUCAAUUAUUGUUCCUCGAGGAGUCACCGUGACACGGAGUUAGCAGACACUGACCCACUGGUCCUGGGAAAACAGGGUUAGGGCCCCUCGAACCUCUG
ensembl:lncRNA